AUAAAAAAUAAUAAUAAAUUAAAAGAAAACCCAAACUAAGCUACAUGCGCUUUAAUGCAUUAAAUUAGUCAAAGAGUUCCAAUUAUUCAAGCACAUGCCUUUUCACUUUCAUAAAAGAACUAAAAUACAGCAUAUUUUGGACUUACACGAAGCAAAUAUAUUCCAAAUAUUUUCCCAUAAGAAUAGAAUAAUAUCAAAUUUUGACCUGUUGGAUCCCUUUCCUAAUGAACAGGUAUAGG
rnacentral:misc_RNA from 1 species